UUACUGAGUUUACGCUCUAUAACCCUUUGUGAACAUACCUAUAACUGUUGCUUCGGCGGGUAGGGUCUCCGUGACCCUCCCGGCCUCCCGCCCCCGGGCGGGUCGGCGCCCGCCGGAGGAUAACCAAACUCCGAUUUAACGACGUUUCUUCUGAGUGGUACAAGCAAAUAAUCAAAACUUUUAACAACGGAUCUCUUGGUUCUGGCAUCGAUGAAGAACGCAGCGAAAUGCGAUAAGUAAUGUGAAUUGCAGAAUUCAGUGAAUCAUCGAAUCUUUGAACGCACAUUGCGCCCGCCAGCAUUCUGGCGGGCAUGCCUGUUCGAGCGUCAUUUCAACCCUCAAGCUCUGCUUGGUGUUGGGGCCCUACAGCUGAUGUAGGCCCUCAAAGGUAGUGGCGGACCCUCCCGGAGCCUCCUUUGCGUAGUAACUUUACGUCUCGCACUGGGAUCCGGAGGGACUCUUGCCGUAAAACCCCCAAUUUUCCAAAGGUUGACCUCGGAUCAGGUAGGAAUACCCGCUGAACUUAAGCAUAU
rnacentral:rRNA from 1 species